rnacentral:rRNA from 1 species
GAUGAACGCUAGCUACAGGCUUAACACAUGCAAGUCGAGGGGCAGCAUGAACUUAGCUUGCUAAGUUUGAUGGCGACCGGCGCACGGGUGCGUAAUGCGUAUCCAACCUUCCCGUUACUCAGGUAUAGCCUUGCGAAAGUAAGAUUAAUCCCUGAUGACAUAUGUUUGCUGCAUGGUGAACAUAUUAAAGAUUUAUCGGUAACGGAUGGGGAUGCGUUCCAUUAGGUAGUUUGUGAGGUCACGGUUCACCCAGCCUGCGAUGGUUAGGGGUUCUGAGAGGUAGGACCCCCACACUGGAACUGAGACACGGUCCAGACUACUACGGGAGGCAGCAGUGAGGAAUAUUGGUAAAUGGUCGGAAGACUGAACCAGCCAAGUAGCGUGAGGGAUGACUGCCCUAUGGGUUGUAAACCUCUUUUAUAUGGGAAUAAAAAAGAUUACGUGUAGUCUAUUGUAUGUACCUUAUGAAUAAGCAUCGGCUAAUUCCGUGCCAGCAGCCGCCGUAAAAC